rnacentral:rRNA from 1 species
CCCUUAGACGUUCUGGGCCGCACGCGCGCUACACUGAUUCAUGCAACAAGUUUUGUCCUUGGCUGAUAGGCCUGGGUAAUCUUUGAACGUGAAUCGUGAUGGGGAUAGAUGAUUGCAAUUAUUCAUCUUCAACGAGGAAUUCCUAGUAAACGCAAGUCAUCAGCUUGCAUUGAUUACGUCCCUGCCCUUUGUACACACCGCCCGUCGCACCUACCGAUUGAAUGGUCCGGUGAAAUCUUCGGAUCUGAGAGAUGUCUGAUUAAUUUCGGACGCCUUUUGGAAAAGUUGUUUAAACCUUACCAUUUAGAGGAAGGUGAAGUCGUAACA